rnacentral:rRNA from 1 species
UGGGGAAUAUUGCACAAUGGAGGGAACUCUGAUGCAGCGACGCCGCGUGAGUGAUGAAGGAAUUCGUUUCGUAAAACUCUGUUCUAUGGGAAGAAAAGGACUGUACCAUAGGAGAAAGCUCCGGCUAAAUACGUGCCAGCAGCCGCGGUAAUACGUAUGGAGCGAGCGUUGUCCGGAAUUAUUGGGCGUAAAGGGUGCGCAGGCGGCUUUACAAGUUGGAUGUGAAAUAUUGUGGCUCAACCACAAACGUGCAUCCAAAACUGCAAAGCUUGAGUUAAGGAGAGGUAAGUGGAAUUCCUGGUGUAGCGGUGGAAUGCGUAGAUAUCAGGAGGAAUACCUGUGGCGAAGGCGACUUACUGGACUUAAACUGACGCUCAGGCACGAAAGCGUGGGGAGCAAACAGG